GUGGGGAAUAUUGGACAAUGGGCGAAAGCCUGAUCCAGCAAUGCCGCGUGAGUGAUGAAGGCCUUAGGGUUGUAAAGCUCUUUUACCAGGGAUGAUAAUGACAGUACCUGGAGAAUAAGCUCCGGCUAACUCCGUGCCAGCAGCCGCGGUAAUACGGAGGGAGCUAGCGUUGUUCGGAAUUACUGGGCGUAAAGCGCACGUAGGCGGCUACUCAAGUCAGAGGUGAAAUCCCGGGGCUCAACCUCGGAACUGCCUUUGAUACUGGGUGUCUUGAGUAUGAGAGAGGUGUGUGGAACUCCGAGUGUAGAGGUGAAAUUCGUAGAUAUUCGGAAGAACACCAGUGGCGAAGGCGACACACUGGCUCAUUACUGACGCUGAGGCGCGAAAGCGUGGGGAGCAAACAGGAUUAGAUACCCCAGUAGUCC
rnacentral:rRNA from 1 species